AUGACACCGAGCAAUCCCGCAGCUACAGGGAAGAGCCCGGAGCCCCUGCGGCAUAACCGUAGGACCAUGACGUUGAAGACAGCGAGGCUCGACCGUGGCCCCAUCGCGGUCAUUUCCACGAACACCUUCCACGCGGCCUGGACGUUGCCCUCGCCGAACAGCAGGCGCAGCAGCGUCGCGAGCGGGGAGAGGCUGGGCGUUUUCCCGCCGCUGCGGACGCGCGCGAGAACGACGAGCGCCUCGGACGCCAUGCCGGCGGCGAGGAAGGCAUCGGGAUGGGUUCUCCGCCGCGGCGAGGUGGCGCGUCGGGUGGCAGAGCCGCAGAGGGAAACUGAGGUGUACUGGUUGACGAGGAUGCCAACUCGCUGGCUGCGUACCGUCGGAUUCAAGACGAAGCGACCAGAUCGAACCGAGUGGUCGGGCUAUGGCUUAUGCAUUCUACACACGGGCCAAAGAUUUGUCCUGCCGUGGGAUUUGACCUGCCAAUUUGCAUAG
rnacentral:rRNA from 1 species